GCGGGGGUAGCUCAACUGGUAGAGCACCGGUCUCCAAAACCGAAGGUCGGGGGUUCGACUCCCUCCCUCCGCGCCG
rnacentral:tRNA from 1 species